rnacentral:misc_RNA from 1 species
AUGAAGUAUAGGGAGUUGUUGCUGGCUCUAUUCGAGCAUGUGCACACUCCUUCACUUUACUUUACCACCUGUGCACCUUUUGUAGACUAGUGAUCGUCAAGGCUGGAUUGGAGUUUGCACUUUUGUGCUUUCUCUGCUAUCAUUAGUCUAUGUUUUACAUACACUAUGAAUGUCAAGCAUGUCAUUAACAGGUCUUUGACCUUUAAUACAAUA